UCUAAACUAUGCAGGGCUCCAGCCCUCCAGGAACUGAGUUUGACACCCCUGGUCUAAAUAUAAUGAUAACCUUCGUUAUCUCGAGACCUUAUGUAAACAAAGUCAUGCCUAUCCCUCACUAUAAAAGCGGGAUGAACUUCCGGAUUGUCCUCUUUACCUUUCUCGCCAUAGGGACCUGGUACGGGUAAGAACCGAUCUAAUAUUCACCAUCCAAUUCUUCACCCAGGUGGUACAGGGGCCUUGUGUCCCUGUGAAUUGUGGUGUUUCUUUGCAUGUUUUACUGCAGUUGGUAGAAUAUACUAUAACUGCAUUGUUGUUACUAGGCUAGUUUUAUACACUAACGAUUCAAUUGGGAUUAUCUCUGUUUAUUUUUCAGAGUGCUCAUCAGUAGGUUAUUGAAUAUACUUCAUAACAAAAUUGUAUCCUGACUGCAGAUCCAAUGUAUUGAACCAGGAGGCGCCUUCCAUGGAUUCAAGGUUAUCGUGUAUUAACGGCAUUGGGAUGCAGGCGGUGGUGUAAGGCUAGAUGGUGAUGAGCUUCUGCAGUUCCUCCAGAUGGUCUGUAUCAUAGUCAGGUAUGUUAGUAGAGGACACCCGGCUAAGUGUUAGGAGGUUCCUUGCAGGUGGUAAUGCAUAAUAUAGGAUUACUGUAGCAGCUAAGGGAGUAUGAGCAGGCUGGUUCUUAAGGGAUAACCACAGAGUUAUAUCAGCCGGAAGAAAGAGGUAGUAGUUAUAGCACUUCCUGUUUUUAGGCCAUAAUGGUUCUGCCCGACCUCCAAGAUGGCCCCUGUGGCAGUCAGGAAGUCCAAGCCAGCGAUGAGAGGGAAGGCUAGGUGAGUAUCUUUCAUUUUCAUCUUUCAUGUAUUCAGCAUAUACUCUUUUCCAUGCCAUUUGUUCCGUAUUGACCUCUGGUCCACAGCCUGGUAAAUUUUCCCAUCUGCCAUGAUGAAUCGAUGGGGGGAAUCAGAUCUACUCAGUGGAGUGUCACCCCUUAGCUGUUUCCACAGGUUUUCUUGCAUCAGAGUAUAUGUAUCCAGUACGGCCUUGACUUAUGUCCCUUUGAUGGUAACAGGUACGAGAAGCAGUGAUGUGACUGCAUGGGGUUGUGCUAUGGGAAAGUCUGGCCAGGCUUUUAGUGUUACUCCUCUCUGCUGUUCUCUUGUUACAUUUCUCUUUGUGGCUCUGCCCUCCUACUUUCUGCCAGUAGUCUUUAGCUCCUAGGCAGUCCUUCUCCACCAUAGAUCCAACUUUUACUAACUGCUCCACAGUGUUCACUGUCCCUCUCAGGCAACCAGCGACCAAAGGAUUGAUGUUUUUAAGUAUACAGCUUACCAGCUCUUCCUCUGAGAUUUCAGGCUUCCACUUGAGACAGAGAGCUCGAUAGUCAUAAGCGAAGUCUAUCAGGAGUUGUCGUGGCUGUUGUAUGAGGGACCUCAGUUUGUCUUCCACUUCCGUAGGUAAUCAUCUGGAAGGAAAGCAUCCAUAAAUGUCUCUUUGAAAGACUUCCAGUCAGUAACCUUUAUUCUCUCUGUCUUCCACCAGCUCAGAGCAGGUCCACUCAACACUGAACUCAAGGUUCCGAGGAGCUCAAUGCUGGAAAGAGACCUGAGGUUGAGGAAGUUCUCACACCGCUCUAUGAAGUUGAGAACAUCCGCCGUUUCACCAGCACCAUCGAAGGAGGGAAACUCCAAACGGAUCGGAGGGCUAGGAAGAGGAUCCUGCUGCAUAUGGAGCCGUGGUCACACCUGCUGAUUGGGGGCUGAAACAGAACUGAUAGCAUAGGUGUUAUUAGGGAGUAUUACAUUGGCCCUGCUGGCAACGGGGUAGACUGAGGAUAUAUAUGAGGUAGCUGGAGUGUAGGCUUGCAGCCUAGUUAUAGUGGGAGUACUUGUGGGCCUGAGUUUUUUCCAUUGAUUCUCCCAUUUUGCAUGUCUCAGGAAGCAGUCCGUAACUGCCUUCUCCAGUUUGUCCAGAAAUUUCUGGCAGUUCUCCUCAAUUCCUGCAAAGCUAGCGCCCACAGCUUCUCUAAAACUAUUCUCCUGAUUAAUGGCACUGUCAAUAGGCUGUUGGAAAUCUUGUUUUAGAGACUGUACUUGAGAGCUAAGGGCCAAUAAAUCCACCUUAAUCUGUUCUAUGUCUGUUUGCAUAUUCUGUACCCCACCCACGUUUAACUGUCCCCACUGUCAUACCUCAUCGUCAGACUUCUCAUCAUCUGAAAUGUACAAUGAACUGAGCAUAGAUGUAAUUUCUGCUGUGGGAUUAUGUCUAGUGACGUAUGGGCCUGUCGUAAAGUCUGCAACAACCUCAUUGCCAGUGUUAUCUUGUUGUUGGGUAACAGAAUCAAUAACAUUUUCCGUAUUACGCAUUGAAAUGUCAGUAUUUACAAUAGAGUCUUGUAUCGUUUCGUCUGUAUUCUCCAUAUUUACAAUAUUUAAACAGUAAACAGUCAACAGAGCGUCCCCGUAUGGGCCACCGUACUAUGUAACAGUUAGCGUUCCCUUUGAACAAACAACCGUAUACAAGAAUAAAAAAACAACAAGGGAAACCCUAGUUAUGCAACACUAUCUGUUAUAAAGGAGACAGACAACCAUGUAAUGUAUCAAACGACCCAAGUGUAUUUACAAUCCAUAUAUAUAAUAUUUCACCCUUUAAUGUUUCAUGUAAGUGUGUGCAAGUUUGUGUUUGUGUAUGAGUCCCCAAGUUCGCUAAAGUUCAGAUCGGGCUCACCGGCACUGGAGAGUCUAUGAGUGGUCCAUGCAACAGCAAUAGAUGUCCUCACUGGUAAGUAUUCCACAUGGAAGAAACCCUCCAAAAAAAUAUAAUACUCCACAGCGAGAUCGCUCAUCAACAGUCCAGAAAAAGCCAGGAAAGAGAAUAAUUUGUGUGCUAGGCGAUCGCCUUUCUUUUAAUCCCUUUCACACACAGCCCCCAAAACGCCGAUUGCCUGCUCUUUUAACAGUUCAAAAAAUCUAAACAUUGAGAAGAGCUUCCGGGCCACACCCCCAGGAGUGCGGGGUUUCCGGUAUACAUCCCGCGAGCACGAGAUCACGGACCACACACGUAUAAUGAUGGGGUAAUAGUCACACCAACAUAUAGACAUAUACGCCUACUACUAUGUGGCUACUCUCUUAGCAUUUUUUAAAUUUCAAUGAAGACAUAUUAACAGUUAAAUCUGUUCCCUCAUAUUUUAUCAAAAUAUGCGAACAUACAGACCUAAGCCUUUAAAGUUAUUAAACUUGCCUUCUCUUUUCUUUCUGUGGUUACAUUAAACAUUCUAACAGCCCACAUAUCUAGCAUUCACUCCUGUCAGUUUAUGAAAUAAUCAGACAGUUUCACAGGCAAUCCUCUAGUUCUCCCCUGUGUUGGUAUAUUUGACAAAUCCACUUUGGGAUUCAGAUCCUGAGAGUUGGAGUCAGGCCAACAGCUUUUCAUGUUGUGAUCUCACGUUCAGUCUCUACAACAGUUGUUUCAUUGGUGUUGGAUCUUUUGACGUGAGUAGUGUUUCGUGUGUAUUUUACUAUUAUUUUUUUAUUGUUUAUUUAUUUGAUAGGGACAAUGCAUGUUAAUGAACAUUUGUAGUAAUACAAAAUGUAAACAGGCCGGAUUAUAGUAACAUUGCUAAUUUACAUCCGCAGUCCCUAGGCAGGUACACACAAGAACACAAACUCAAAUACACAUACAACAGCACAUAAAAGACUAAUACCCAAACACAUUUUAAAAAUUCUAAGUAAAAUGUUUACACAACUGAUUUGUCAUAAGCCAAUUUUUUAAAUGAUCUUUAAAGGUAUGAUAAGUAGAGCAUUGUCUUAUUGACGGCGGUAGGCUAUUCCAAUAUUUACUCCCUAUUACAGAUAAUACUUUCUGUCUAAAAGAGGUUUGCCUAUAUGGCACCACACAGUCCCCUCUAAUAGUAGACCUAGUACCAAUACUACAAUCUAUCCUCGGUUUUAUAAAUACUUUUAAUGGAGGGGGAGCAAGCCCAUUCAAGACUUAUAAAUAAAACAAAACUCAGUAGAUUGUUUUUUGAAAAAAUAUUACAGUAGUGAAAUGACAGGGGUUUUUUUAUCUAACACUUUGCUCGCCUUAUACAAUUAUUCUAUUGUCUUUAGAGUUGUGUCACUUAUGAAUGACCAACUAUUAAAACAAUACUCAAUAUGAGAAAAAACCAUUGAGUAUAAAUACAACCUAGCGGCAUCGACUGUCAAAAAUGGCCUAAUAUGCUUAAAAUUCUUUAAAUUAAACUUUACAAUAUUAGACAUCUUUUUCACAUGACUUUUAAAAGUUAAUGCAGAAUCCAAAGUCACCCCAAGGUAUGUAAACUCUUUAACAAUUUCAAGCU